rnacentral:rRNA from 1 species
ACUGUGAAUUGUACUCAUACCCGUCGAGAACUACGUAUUUUUGCGGUUAGCACUUGCGUUGUUUGGAUGGGUUCCAUUUGCUGCCUUCAUCUUUGCUUCAAUUGAAGUAAGAUGUAGAGUAGAACUAAGAAACCGGCACGGUUUGUGCCAAGGACAGUUAUUGUUGGAGAGCUUGCCAUCAUUUUGAUGUGCUUCGUGUUAUUCCAGUGAGCGUCUGAAUGACUCCUGGCAAUGGAUAUCUUGGCUCUCGUGUCGAUGAAGAACGUAGCGAAAUGCGACACUUGGUGUGAAUUGCAGAAUCCCGUGAACCAUCGAGUCUUUGAAUGCAAGUUGCGCUCGAGGCCAUUAGGUUGAGAGCACGUCUGUUUGGGCGUCAUGCCUUGCGUCAUUCUAACCAUCCACCUACUGUAAACAUACUGUGAGUGAUGGCGGAUGUGGAGAUUGACCCUCCGUGCCUUAAUUGUGCGGUUGGUUUAAGUGAAUGUUGUCGUUAGGUCUACGCGCGGCGAAUGGUGUAUCGAGUUAACAUGCGAUGUCUCUAACUGCGUCCAGGAGUCCUACGCACGAUGUAACACUAAUUGAAACCAUUUUCGACGGUUGCCUUAGUUGCAAGCUCGGAACAUGACCUCAGAUCAGGUG